rnacentral:pre_miRNA from 1 species
UUAACUCAAAUUUGUAUGGAUUUGGAACGUCUGUCUACGUUUUCCGCUAGGAGCGCUGUUCCAACUGCAUACAAAUUCGAGUUA